AGGGCGCAAGGAGAAUGCCUUGGCACUGGGAGCCGAUGAAAGACGUGAUAAGCUGCGAUAAGCCUUGGGGAGGAGCAAAUAUCCAUUGAUCCAGGGAUUUCUGAAUGAGGAAACUCACCGAAGCUCAUACUUCGGUACUGCACACUGAAUCCAUAGGUGUGUGGGGGGAACCGCCUGAACUGAAACAUCUAAGUAGGGCGAGGAAGAGACAUCAAACGAGAUUCCGUUAGUAGUGGCGAGCGAACGCGGAAGAGGGCAAACCGGAAGGAGAAAUCCUUCCGGGGUAUGGACCGCUUUUAGGACUUAAGUUGCUAGCUGAAUGGCAUGGGAAGGCCAUCCAAAGAGUGUGAGAGACACGUAAGCGAAAGUAACGAGAGCUGCGCGAGUUCCAGAGUACGGCCAGACACGUGAAACCUGGUCGGAAGAUGGGGGGACCACCCUCCAACCCUAAAUACUACCCAGUGACCGAUAGCGUAUAGUACUGUGAAGGAAAGGUGAAAAGCACCCCGGGAGGGGAGUGAAAAAGAACCUGAAACCCUGUGCCUACAAGCACCUAGAGCACGUCAAUGUGUGAUAGGGUACUUUUUGUAGAACGGUCCGGCGAGCGAUUGUAUGCAGCAAGGUUAAGGACUUAAGGUCUGGAGCCGAAGCGAAAGCGAGUUUGAAAAGGGCGUUAAGUUGCAUAUAAUGGGCCCGAAACCGGGUGACCUACCCAUGGUCAGGUUGAAGUGGAAGUAAAAUUCCAUGGAGGACCGAACCGACCUCCGUUGAAAAGGCGGCGGAUGAACUGUGGGUAGCGGAGAAAUUCCAAUCGAACCCGGAGAUAGCUGGUUCUCCCCGAAAUAGUUUUAGGACUAGCCUCAAGUUAGAUACCUGGAGGUAAAGCACUGAAUAGCCUAGCGGCCGAGAGGUUAGCGAAGCUUAUCAAACUCAGAAUGCCAGAGUAUUGAUGCUUGGGAGUCAGACAGUGUCAGAUAAAUGUCAUUGUCAAAAGGGAAACAGCCCAGAUCUACAGCUAAGGUCCCAAAGUCAGGUUAAGUGGAAAACGAUGUGAAGAUACGUAGACAACCAGGAUGUUGGCUCAGAAGCAGCCACUCAUUCAAAGAGUGCGUAAUAGCUCACUGGUCGAGCGUCUUUGCGCGGAGAAUUUAACGGGGCUAAACCUGACACCGAAGCUUAGGCAAUACAGCAAUGUAUUGGGUAGGGGAGCGUUGUAUACGCGGUGAAACAGUAGCGCAAGCGGCUGUGGAGUGUAUAGAAGUGAGAAUGCCGGAAUGAGUAGCGCGAAUGCAGUGAGAAUCUGCAUGGCCGAAAGCCUCAGGUUUCUGGAGGAAGGUUCGUCCGCUCCAGGUUAGUCGGGAGCUAAGGUGAGGCCUAACGGCGUAGCCGAUGCACAGACGGUAGAGAUUCCGUCACCACCAAAAGAGUUAAACACAGGGACACAUAUGAAGUCUCGGAGCCGGGUGUUGGUUCCGGUAGCGAUCGAGGGAAGUUAGUACCGAAGUCCGGGAUGGAAGAUGGCGAGAAAAGCUGUGUGUAUUUCUGCGGUGCCCGUACCGCAAACCGACACAGGUAGGUAGGAAGAAGAUUCUAAGGCCAACGGGAGAAGGGUUGUUAAGGAACUCGGCAAAUUGACCCCGUAACUUCGGGAGAAGGGGUGCUCCAGAGAUGGAGCCGCAGAGAAUCGGCCCAAGCAACUGUUUACCAAAAACACAGGUUUGUGCUAAAUCGAAAGAUGACGUAUACGAGCUGACGCCUGCCCGGUGCUGGAAGGUUAAGAGGAGAUGUGCAAGCAUUGAAUCGAAGCCCCAGUGAACGGCGGCCGUAACUAUAACGGUCCUAAGGUAGCGAAAUUCCUUGUCAGGUAAGUUCUGACCCGCAUGAAAGGCGUAAUGAUUUGGGCACUGUCUCAACAGCCCGCCCGGCGAAAUUGUAGUACCGGUGAAGAUGCCGGUUACCCGCGACAAGACGGAAAGACCCCAUGGAGCUUUACUGUAGCCUAAUAUUGGGUUUCGAUGUUGCAUGCACAGGAUAGAUGGGACACUGGGAAGCAGGUGCUUUGGCGCUUGUGGAGUGGCCGUUGGGAUACCAUCCUUGCGAUAUUGGAAUUCUAACCUGCGCCUUUGAAUCAAGGCGGGGGACAUUGUUAGGUGGGCAGUUUGACUGGGGCGGUCGCCUCCUAAAGAGUAACGGAGGCGUUCAAAGGUUCGCUCAGCUUGAACGGAAAUCAAGCAAAAGAGUGCAAACGCAGAAGCGAGCCUAACUGCGAGACUGACGGGUCGAGCAGUAACGAAAGUUGGAGUUAGUGAUCCGGUGGUAUGUGAGUGGAAAUGCCAUCGCUCAACGGAUAAAAG
rnacentral:rRNA from 1 species